rnacentral:rRNA from 1 species
GGGGAAUAUUGGACAAUGGGCGCAAGCCUGAUCCAGCCAUACCGCGUGGGUGAAGAAGGCCUUCGGGUUGUAAAGCCCUUUUGUUGGGAAAGAAAAGCAGCCGGUUAAUACCCGGUUGUUCUGACGGUACCCAAAGAAUAAGCACCGGCUAACUUCGUGCCAGCAGCCGCGGUAAUACGAAGGGUGCAAGCGUUAAUCGGAAUUACUGGGCGUAAAGGGUGCGUAGGCGGUUAUUUAAGUCUGCCGUGAAAUCCCCGGGCUCAACCUGGGAAUGGCGGUGGAUACUGGAUAGCUAGAGUGUGUCAGAGGAUGGUGGAAUUCCCGGUGUAGCGGUGAAAUGCGUAGAGAUCGGGAGGAACAUCAGUGGCGAAGGCGGCCAUCUGGGACAACACUGACGCUGAAGCACGAAAGCGUGGGGAGCAAACA